AUGCAAUGGUAUAUUAAUAGAUGAAAUGAAUUCUUUUUGUUGUGCUUUGGUAUGAAAAUAAAAUGCAAUGCAGGUAUUUAAGAUUUGGGAUAACACGAGUAACUCAUAACAACUUACUAGGUAGACUCCUUAACAGAUAGUUCUAGGCUUUCUACCCAUAAACCCACUCACGAGAUAGUUUCUACAUUUUUGUAUAAGGUUCCCAG
rnacentral:lncRNA from 1 species